UCUCCCUCCCUACACGAUCGGGCUUCCCCCCUCUCAAGUGCAAUUGGGAGGUCUGUACGACCCCUUUUGAGCACGGUGUCGGGACGCACCCGUGAGGGCACGCCUCGCCGACGGUGUGCUGUGUAAUGAUCCUUCCGCAGGUUCACCUACGGAAACCUUGUUACGACUUUUACUUCCUCUAAAUGACCAAGA
rnacentral:misc_RNA from 1 species